AUCCACCUGACGAGUCCCAAAUAGGAUGAAACGCGCAUCCUGGAU
rnacentral:hammerhead_ribozyme from 1 species